rnacentral:lncRNA from 1 species
AUAUACAUUAAUCAUAUUAGGCAAUUCCGUAGCUUUUAUUUAAAGAAAGUGCGAAAUUAUUCUUUUGUAUACUAUUUAUCAAUUUAACAGUUAAUUUAAUAAAAAAUAUUAUAUAAAUUAAGAUGGACCAACAUAUUUCUCUAAGAAUUCUGAAUUUCAUUCUCAUGUUGACAUGUGUCUACAAAACGAUGUUAUAAUGUUUCUCAAUUAAUAUAUAAGAUACAUUAUUUUCUGCUAUUUUAACUGUGGCAAGUUUCUUAAAACUAACUGAUGGCUUUUAGUCAUUAAAUCUACUCUAAACAAAAUGAAAUAAACGGAUUUAUGAUAAAAGAAAUUUAAUCAAAGGAAUAAUUAGUAGUGGUAAUACAAAAUGGUUGGUUUCAUUGUACGCAUGGUCGUACCUGAGUACAGGAGAAACAAACAUAAGUUUGGGGAUUGAAAUAUUAUAUAACUAUUAGGGAUAUAAACCAAAAUAAGUUAAUAGUUCGGUUGGUAAUGCCUUUAUUUCGACUUCUUUCCAUAACAUUUUUAAUUUUUAUGGUUUUAGGGACCAAAAAAAUAAUCGACUUUCUGGACCUAAUAUUCUCAGACCUGGCCCUCA